GACAGAGGUGCCAAGCGUUAGGCGGAAUCACUGGGCGUAAAGGGUGCGUAGGCGGGUCUUUAAGUCAGAGGUGAAAUCCUGGAGCUCAACUCCAGAACUGCCUUUGAUACUGAGGAUCUUGAGUUCGGGAGAGGUGAGUGGAACUGCGAGUGUAGAGGUGAAAUUCGUAGAUAUUCGCAAGAACACCAGUGGCGAAGGCGGCUCACUGGCCCGAUACUGACGCUGAGGCACGAAAGCGUGGGGAGCAAACAGG
rnacentral:rRNA from 1 species